rnacentral:rRNA from 1 species
GGGAAUCUACCCAUCCCUACGGAACAACUCCGGGAAACUGGAGCUAAUACCGUAUACGCCCUUCGGGGGAAAGAUUUAUCGGGGAUGGAUGAGCCCGCGUUGGAUUAGCUAGUUGGUGGGGUAAUGGCCUACCAAGGCGACGAUCCAUAGCUGGUCUGAGAGGAUGAUCAGCCACACUGGGACUGAGACACGGCCCAGACUCCUACGGGAGGCAGCAGUGGGGAAUAUUGGACAAUGGGCGCAAGCCUGAUCCAGCCAUGCCGCGUGAGUGAUGAAGGCCCUAGGGUUGUAAAGCUCUUUCAACGGUGAAGAUAAUGACGGUAACCGUAGAAGAAGCCCCGGCUAACUUCGUGCCAGCAGCCGCGGUAAUACGAAGGGGGCUAGCGUUGUUCGGAAUUACUGGGCGUAAAGCGCACGUAGGCGGAUAUUUAAGUCAGGGGUGAAAUCCCGGGGCUCAACCCCGGAACUGCCUUUGAUACUGGGUAUCUCGAGUCCGAGAGAGGUGAGUGGAAUUCCGAGU